rnacentral:rRNA from 1 species
GACGUAGGGGGCGAGCGUUGUCCGGAUUCAUUGGGCGUAAAGAGCGCGUAGGCGGCCCGGAAAGUGGGGUGUGAAAACCCGAGGCUCAACCUCGGGCGUGCAUUCCAAACUCCCGGGCUUGAGGCAGGUAGGGGAGAUCGGAAUUCCUGGUGUAGCGGUGAAAUGCGCAGAUAUCAGGAGGAACACCGGUGGCGAAGGCGGAUCUCUGGGCCUGUUCUGACGCUGAGGCGCGAAAGCUAGGGGAGCGAAUGGG